ACUCAAAUGAAUUGACGGGGGACCGCACAAGCAGCGGAGCGUGUGGUUUAAUUCGAGGCUACACGAAGAACCUUACCUAGGUUUGACAUCGCACCGAAUACUGCGUGAAAGCGUGGUAGUCCCGCAAGGGACGGUGUGACAGGUGCUGCAUGGCUGUCGUCAGCUCGUGCCGUGAGGUGUUCGGUUAAGUCCGCAAACGAGCGCAACCCUCGGUGCCAGUUACAAGUGUCUGGCGCGACUGCCCGUGGCAAACGGGAGGAAGGUGGGGAUGACGUCAAGUCAGCAUGGCCUUUAUAUCUAGGGCUACACACACGCUACAAUGGCGCGUACAAUGGGUCGCGAAGCUGCGAAGCGGAGCUAAUCCUAAAAAGCGCGUCUCAGUUCAGAUCGCAGGCUGCAACCCGCCUGCGUGAAGUUGGAGUUGCUAGUAACCGCGCGUCAGCAGAGUGCGGUGAAUACGUUCCCGGUCCUUGCACACACCGCCCGU
rnacentral:rRNA from 1 species